rnacentral:rRNA from 1 species
CAGCAGCCGCGGGAAUACGAAGGGGGCUAGCGUUGCUCGGAAUCACUGGGCGUAAAGGGUGCGUAGGCGGGUCUUUAAGUCAGGGGUGAAAUCCUGGAGCUCAACUCCAGAACUGCCUUUGAUACUGAAGAUCUUGAGUUCGGGAGAGGUGAGUGGAACUGCGAGUGUAGAGGUGAAAUUCGUAGAUAUUCGCAAGAACACCAGUGGCGAAGGCGGCUCACUGGCCCGAUACUGACGCUGAGGCACGAAAGCGUGGGGAGCAAACAGGAUUAGAUACCCCCGUAGUCCCUGUCUCUUAUAU